UGUAGCCUAAAAUAUCACAUCAUGACAAGAAGAAAUAUAAUGUCAUAACUCAAAAUAAAACAUUUUGCCUCCUAGAGCAUUACAAUUAUCCUCAAAAUAAAAUAAAAUAUGUAAUGUUUUCUCAGUUUCUAAGAUAAUAAGUAAAGAUCAAAUUAGUAAACUUAGCACUGAUGUCACAAUAUAAUAUCAGUAACUAGAACCCAGUUGAAACAUAAACAAUAAUCAAACAAACUUUAAAUAAAAAUAUAAUAUAGGUGAGAUAAUAGAUAUCCACUUUAUCCUCAUACACAAACACAUCGAUAUCACUCCUCAAUCUUGUUACGAGGAUAACCUGCAUAAAAUAAUAGAAAAGAAACACGUAGAAAAUAGGGGGUGAGAUUUUAUAAUAGAAAAUAUGGUUUGAGUAGAAUAUAUAGAGAAAUAGGAUAUAAGUGGGUAGUGGGAAUCGAACCAGCAUCGUUAGCUUGGAUGGCUAAGUGUUAUAGCCGAUAUUCAUAAAUGAACGUUUCUAUUUAAAAACCGACAUGAAACUUUUGUUUCAUUCAGAUCCUUUAUAGAUUAAUUUAAGAGAUUGACGGAAUACACGAAGAAAAAAAUGACACUUAACAUCUAUGUUAGCCUUUCGGUAUGAAUACACAUGUUAAAAGAAACUUAAAGUUGUAAAGUGGUAAUGCAUAGAAACAAACACACAAAUAUAUGUUUAUGACGACAAACCAUUUGAGGCGUACACAUAAUACUAUAAGAGAUAUAUAUAUCAAAUGAAUCAUUCCUACACAUCUACUAUAUAUGCAUUUUGUACACAUAACUUGUUAUGAGGAUAAUACUCAUUAAAAUAUAAAUUACCCAUUCUAUUUAUAUUUUUCUUUAAGGUUUUAAGGUUAUAUUUGUCAAUCAGAAUUUUCAAUUACAAUACAACUUCUUUGGAACUUUUAUAACAUAUUGUUUGAGUUUGAUAUGUUUAUUCAACCUAGUUACCUCUUAUUUUGGGAUGGAUUUAUAUAAUUGGAUUGUCUAUAUUUCAUUAUGCGCUGUUGUUUUUAGACUCGUUGUUAAUGAUGAACCAAAAAAUCUAAUUAACAAUUCUAGGAAACAAAUCCAUGUAUAGAAACAAUUUUUUUUAUAUAUAUAUGUCUUUGGUACUUAGAUUGGUUUUCCUUUUCCUAGAUUCAAUCUAACAUUGUUUACGUGUAUCUUGCAAAUUACGAAUUGUGUAGACGUGUUUGGUGCGAUCUUCGACUUGUGUGUGUAAUAAUCUCAACAUACAAAUUUGGUGUUGUUUCCUUAUUAUACAUGUUGUGGCGUACUUGAGUAGAUACUAAAGUUAUCAGAGCAUUUGUUUAGUUUUUUUCAAUAUUCUCAAGUGAAUAAAAAAUCUAGUACAUAUUUGGGACGAAUAUGGUAAAAUAGUUUAUCGAUUAAUAUAUAUAGGGUGAACCAAGAUCUACCAAGGAUUAAAAAGAUAAUGGUAGCUAUGAUUUAUUUUGUUAUUGUUAUGAGUAUCAUCUAAAGAGAUAUAUUUGUUACUAUAUUGUCUAUAGUAUAUGUGUGAUAUUUUAAUUGUUUGCAUACAUUUAUGAGCGUAAGAGCAUUAGGAUCAUCUUUUAUAUAUGAUAUUUUAUUUAUGUAAGAUAUGUCAUAGAUGAUAUAUUUUUUAUUUUUAAUAACAUAGUUAUGUCCUCGGUCUAUUUUAGAAAUGUAUUUGUUAAUGAUGCCUUAUUAUAUGUUAAUUUAAGGAUGUUUUAAUAGUGUAGGUUUUUGUGUGUCAUUGAUUAUUAUGAUUAUGAGGAUUAUAAGUAAGAUAAAGGUAAAAUAUUAUUAGGGAAACUGUGAUUAUGAUGAAAAUGAUUACAAGUAUGGCAAUCGACUAUGGAUACAUAUAUGAAUAUAAAUAGAAACAUGACUUUGUCGUGCAAACAUAAAAGAUUAGUUAUUGAUUUUUAUGGAUCAAGUUUCCAUGACUUAUAGAGAUUAUACAUGAAGAAUUUCAUAAGAUUUUAUUGAUGUUAUUCCAUCAGCGUGUGUAUGGGCAUUCACAAGGUGUAUUAUUGGUCCCAUCUUUUAGAAAGAAUAUUAUCAUUAUUUUGAACAUGGUUGAAUGCCACAAUAGUGGUCUAUUCUAGCACAAGUUAUGGACUGUGGCAAAUUUAAAGCAUUUAGACUCCAUUAGAAGUAAAAUGGUGUUUUCUCAUUGUUAGUGAGAAUAUUUGUGGCUUCAUAAUUUACCAGUUUAAUUGUCAACGCUUAGUUUGACAUGUAUCAAAAUCAUAUGAAUGAUCUGAAAGGAAAUUUAAUGAUGAUGUACAAUAUAACUGAGUCGAGGAUGUGUGGUGUAUUUUUUGUGUGGUGUACUUAUUUUCAUCCUAUUAUUUUGAUGUUUCUAGAGUCUUAGUAACUAUUUAAAAUGAUCCACUUUUACAAGGCUUUGUCUUUUAUUGUGUUGUUGGAGUACCCCUUGUACUCCUUUUUCAAUUUGAAAUAUAUUUUAAAUGAUUCUAAUGCGAUUAAAUAAAUUGCAAGGUCGAAGUAUUACAUGAAAGAUUAGAGAAUUAUGUUUUACCUUAGUUGAUCACGCACUUACAAAUACCCUUCAUGCACUUGAUAGGGUAUUUUGAAGGGCCAGGAAAUUUUUCCUGGCAAUCGGCAUCAGUGUCACACCAUACUGUAAUUGUAAAUAAAGAUAAAGAAAUAUUACUAAAUAUGAGAGAAAUGUAUUGUCUAAGAUAAAAAAAGAAUAAAAUGAGCUUACGUUUACUAUUAUAUACAACAAGAUACAAAGAAAAGAAAAGGGUCGCAUUAUAAACAAACUUGAGAAUUUCAGCCAUUUUUUU
rnacentral:lncRNA from 1 species